AACGAUGAAACUUAAAUGAUUUCUUCGGAAUGAACUUAAGUGGAUUAGUGGCGGACGGGUGAGUAACGCGUGAGUAACCUGCCUUACACAAGGGGAUAGCCGUUGGAAACGACGAAUAAUACCCUAUGAAACUAUCACUUCGCAUGAAGCGAUAGUCAAAGUGUUAGCAGUGUAAGAUGGACUUGCGUCUGAUUAGCUAGUUGGUGAGAAAAAAGCCCACCAAGGCAACGAUCAGUAGCCGGCUUGAGAGAGUGUACGGCCACAUUGGGACUGAGACACGGCCCAGACUCCUACGGGAGGCAGCAGUGGGGAAUUUUGCACAAUGGGGGAAACCCUGAUGCAGCGACGCCGCGUGAUUUAGAAGGCCUUCGGGUUGUAAAAAUCUUUUGUAUAGGAAGAAAAUGACAGUACUAUACGAAUAAGGUCCGGCUAAUUACGUGCCAGCAGCCGCGGUAAUACGUAAGGACCGAGCGUUGUCCGGAAUCAUUGGGCGUAAAGGGUACSUAGGCGGGUCAUUAAGUUAGAAGUCAAAGGCUAUAGCUCAWCUAUAGUAAGCUUCUAAAACUGGCGACCUUGAGUAAUGGAAGGGAAAGUGG
rnacentral:rRNA from 1 species